AACCUGCCUGCGUGAGCCAGAAGAAAGGGGGUUCUGAAACCACUCCAAGCAGUGGUGGGGGCGCAGCAACAGCAACAGAGAGCCCGACGGAGUUAGGACCGCUCGGAGCGUCCAGGUCUCGAGGGUGUUGGUGCCAGAAGAAAAGAAUGAUUGAUGGGAAACAGACACCGGGCUGUAGACACUCAUCUUUUUGCUUCAGAUACUGAUUUAUCAGCGAGUCUGGGCAUCCCUUGUGAGCCGUGAACACAGAGGAGGAUCACUCAGGGUUAUCGGCAGUACAACUGAAGACCUACCACUUUGCUAAAUUAUCAUCCCUUCUUGGACAUCUGUUACAACGACAACAAGAAAAAAAAAUCAAAACAAAGCAAAGCAAGACCCAACAAUCCUAGAGAUAAGCUGUGGGACAAAGAAA
rnacentral:lncRNA from 1 species